AUUGAACGCUGGCGGCAUGCCUUACACAUGCAAGUCGAACGGCAGCACGGGUGCUUGCCCCUGGUGGCGAGUGGCGAACGGGUGAGUAAUACAUCGGAACAUGUCCUGUAGUGGGGGAUAGCCCGGCGAAAGCCGGAUUAAUGCCGCAUACGAUCUACGGAUGAAAGCGGGGGACCUUCGGGCCUCGCGCUAUAGGGUUGGCCGAUGGCUGAUUAGCUAGUUGGGGGGGUAAAGGCCUACCAAGGCGACGAUCAGUAGCUGGUCUGAGAGGACGACCAGCCACACUGGGACUGAGACACGGCCCAGACUCCUACGGGAGGCAGCAGUGGGGAAUUUUGGACAAUGGGCGAAAGCCUGAUCCAGCAAUGCCGCGUGUGUGAAGAAGGCCUUCGGGUUGUAAAGCACUUUUGUCCGGAAAGAAAUCCUUGGCCCUAAUACGGUCGGGGGAUGACGGUACCGGAAGAAUAAGCACCGGCUAACUACGUG
rnacentral:rRNA from 1 species